rnacentral:rRNA from 1 species
GUUGUCCUACGGGACGCAGCAUUAGGGAAUCUUCGGCAAUGGACGAAAGUCUGACCGAGCAACGCCGCGUGAGUGAAGAAGGUUUUCGGAUCGUAAAACUCUGUUGGUAGAGAAGAACGUUGGUGAGAGUGGAAAGCUCAUCAAGUGACGGUAACUACCCAGAAAGGGACGGCUAACUACGUGCCAGCAGCCGCGGUAAUACGUAGGUCCCGAGCGUUUUUCGGAUUUAUUGGGCGUACAGCAAGCGCAGUAGG